AUGCAAAUGAAGAAUCGCAGCUUUGGCAGUGACAAGCCACACAGUGUGAGGCCAAGUGCUCGCCAAGAAAGGAGAGAGAGGAGAGAAAGGAGGGAGAGCAAAGUUUACCUUCCACUUCAGUAGCUCUGUAAAGGGCUGAAGAUGAAAGGUGCUAUUUGGUUAGUGGGACAAACUGAACUCUGAUUCUACAAUGAAUAGAGCACUUCAUGGCCCAGCAUACAGCUCUACACAUGUUUAAAUGGGACAACUGCAUUUUUCCUGUCACAUUAAAUGUACAGGUAUUGGAUACAACUGAUAUAGAAUAAAUAGAUUUAACUAUAAAUCAUGUAAUGUAAAGUUUAAAUAAUGGUAAGCCUAGGAAUUCUGAUCUGUCUAUCUAUAAGCAGGCAGAGAUGUGUUAAAUGUAGCGACUGUACAAAAUUAACUCAAUUUUGAUGUUUUUUAAUGCUUACCAGGAACAAACUUCUUUAACCAGCGUGCAGCAGGGUAGUGUCACCAAACAGUAAAGAGCUUUUUUUUUAAAGGAGUAGUUCAUCCCAAAAAUAAACAUUUGCUGAAAAUGAUUCACCCUUAGCCCAUCUAAAAUGUAGAUGAGUUAGUUUAUUCAUCGGAACAGAUUUGAAAUUUGAAAUUUACCAUUACCAUUGCAAGUCCUCUAUCCAUAAUAUUGUUUUCUCCAGUGAAAAAGUCAUGCUGUCUAAAUCUGGAGAGAAAUAUUCACAGAUCAAGCGCAGUUCACAAGCGAAAACAGUCCAAAAUAGUUCUAAACAAAUAUGUCAUUGGAUUUUGAUAUGAGAGGACAACAAAGGAUGGACGUUUUCACUGAAGGAAUUGAUUAUGGUCUCGUAUUUUGGUCAAAAGUGAUGGCUUAAAGUUAAAAUAACUUAAUGAUUUAUUUGUUUCUCAUAAACAUGCAGCAUUUU
ensembl:lncRNA